rnacentral:rRNA from 1 species
GACGAACGCUGGCGGCGUGCUUAACACAUGCAAGUCGAGCGGUAAGGCCCUUUCGGGGGUACACGAGCGGCGAACGGGUGAGUAACACGUGGGUGACCUGCCCUCAGCUCUGGGAUAAGCCUGGGAAACCGGGUCUAAUACCGGAUAUGACCUCAUGACGCAUGUUGUGGGGUGGAAAGCCUUGUGCGGCUGAGGAUGGGCCCGCGGCCUAUCAGCUUGUUGGUGGGGUGANGGCCUACCAAGGCGACGACGGGUAGCCGGCCUGAGAGGGCGACCGGCCACACUGGGACUGAGACACGGCCCAGACUCCUACGGGAGGCAGCAGUGGGGAAUCUUGCGCAAUGGGCGAAAGCCUGACGCAGCGACGCCGCGUGAGGGAUGACGGCCU